AGGGCCGCGCCGUUACCGCGGGGCUGUCAUGGCUGCCGGGGGACGCCCGGCGGCCCCGGGGGGGAGUUGAGGCCGAGACUGACGGAAAGAAACGCCACGGGCGCUCCUGAUCUGCCCCUAACGGCUCCGCGGGCAGGCGACGUCCAGCCGCGGGGCUGGGUGAGGGGUGUCCGGGGCCGGGAGCCUCUGACGGGGGCGGCAGCGGCGGCCGCCGCCGGCCUGGAGAAGGCCGGAGAGGCGGGCCCGGCUUAACCCGCCUCUUCUUUCUUUUCCAGUCGGGCCAGCUGGUGUGUAAGCUUAGGCUUACCUUUUGGAUGGACGGGAACGUUAAUCAAAAAGCUUUGUUUUGUGAGAGCCUUCAGGGGAAACACGGGGGAAAGACCUUGCUUUGAUCAUCUACAGACUGAUUUACCAGAAGGGAAAACUACACCAACAAACUAUGACAGAAGAAGGGAUGCAAACCACUAAAAAAGAGGCGGUGAUACCAGAGACCAUAUGGACCUCAGCAGAAAAGGCAUUGGAAAUAG